rnacentral:ncRNA from 1 species
CGCUUAUUUUGGCAAACUACCCGAAAGGUUAGGACGCAAAGCUUCCGGUCUACGGUCUUCUAUUAAAGGCUACGACAGCGGGGUUGCUGCA